rnacentral:rRNA from 1 species
GAUGAACGCUGGCGGCGUGCCUAAUACAUGCCAGUCGAGCGAACAGACGAGGAGCUUGCUCCUCUGACGUUAGCGGCGGACGGGUGAGUAACACGUGGAUAACCUACCUAUAAGACUGGGAUAACUUCGGGAAACCGGAGCUAAUACCGGAUAAUAUAUUGAACCGCAUGGUUCAAUAGUGAAAGACGGUUUUGCUGUCACUUAUAGAUGGAUCCGCGCCGCAUUAGCUAGUUGGUAAGGUAACGGCUUACCAAGGCAACGAUGCGUAGCCGACCUGAGAGGGUGAUCGGCCCCACUGGAACUGAGCACCGGUCCAGACUCCUACGGGAGGCAGCAGUAGGGAAUCUUCCGCAAUGGGCGAAAGCCUGACGGAGCAACGCCGCGUGAGUGAUGAAGGUCUUCGGAUCGUAAACCUCUGUUAUUAGGGAAGACCAAAUGUGUAAGUACCUAUGCACGUCUUGACGGUACCUAAUCAGAAAGCCACGGCUAACUCCGUG